CCUACGGGAGGCUGCAGUGAGGAAUAUUGGUCAAUGGACGAGAGUCUGAACCAGCCAAGUAGCGUGAAGGAUGACUGCCCUAUGGGUUGUAAACUUCUUUUAUCUGGGAAUAAAAUGUUCCACGUGUGGGGUUUUGUAUGUACCCUAUGAAUAAGGAUCGGCUAACUCCGUGCCAGCAGCCGCGGUAAUACGGAGGAUCCGAGCGUUAUCCGGAUUUAUUGGGUUUAAAGGGAGCGUAGGUGGAUUGUUAAGUCAGUUGUGAAAGUCUGGGGCUCAACCCUAGAAGUGCAGUUGAAACUGGCAGUCUUGAGUACAGGAGAGGUGGGCGGAAGGCGUGGUGUAGCGGUGAAAUGCUUAGAUAUCACGAAGAACUCCGAUUGCGAAGGCAGCGUACUGGAGUGCAACUGACACUGAGGCUCGAAAGUGUGGGUAUCGAACAGGAUUAGAUACCCGUGUAGUC
rnacentral:rRNA from 1 species